UACGGAGGAGGCAAGCGUUAUCCGGAAUUACUGGGCGUAAAGCGUCCGCAGGUGGCUCUGUAAGUCUGUCGUUAAAGAAUGGGGCUCAACCCCAUACAGGCGAUGGAAACUACAAGGCUAGAGUUUGGUAGGGGUCACGGGAAUUCCUAGUGUAGCGGUGAAAUGCGUAGAUAUUAGGAAGAACACCAGCGGCGAAAGCGCGUGACUGGGCCAGUACUGACACUCAUGGACGAAAGCUAGGGGAGCGAAAGGG
rnacentral:rRNA from 1 species